rnacentral:rRNA from 1 species
UACGAAGGGGGCGAGCGUUGUUCGGAUUUACUGGGCGUAAAGGGCGCGCAGGCGGUCUUGAAAGUCAGGCGUGAAAGCCCCGGGCUUAACCUGAGAAUUGCGCUUGAUACUCUGAGACUGGAGUACGGGAGAGGAGAGUGGAAUUCCCAGUGUAGAGGUGAAAUUCGUAGAUAUUGGGAAGAACACCAGUGGCGAAGGCGGCUCUCUGGACCGUAACUGACGCUGAGGCGCGAAAGCGUGGGGAGCAAACAGG